rnacentral:rRNA from 1 species
CGGGGGGAGCAAGCGUUGUUCGGAUUUACUGGGCGUAAAGGGCGGGUAGGCGGCCACUGCAAGUCGAUUGUGAAACCUCCGGGCUUAACCCGGAAAGGUCAACCGAUACUGCAGGGCUAGAGUGCAGAAGGGGCAACUGGAAUUCUCGGUGUAGCGGUGAAAUGCGUAGAUAUCGAGAGGAACACCUGCGGCGAAGGCGGGUUGCUGGGCUGACACUGACGCUGAACUGCGAAAGCUAGGGGAGCGAACGGGAUUAGAUACCCCGGUAGUCCUAGCCUUAAACGAUGAAUGCUUGGUGUCUGGGGUUUUAUAGUCCCCGGGUGCCGUCGCUAACGCUUUAAGCAUUCCGCCUGGGGAGUACGGUCGCAAGACUG